rnacentral:rRNA from 1 species
ACGGGAGGCAGCAGUGAGGAAUAUUGGUCAAUGGGCGCAAGCCUGAACCAGCCAAGUCGCGUGAAGGAAGACUGCCCUAUGGGUUGUAAACUUCUUUUGCAUGGGAAUAAAGUGAGCCACGUGUGGCUUUUUGUAUGUACCAUGCGAAUAAGCAUCGGCUAACUCCGUGCCAGCAGCCGCGGUAAUACGGAGGAUGCGAGCGUUAUCCGGAUUUAUUGGGUUUAAAGGGUGCGCAGGCGGCACGUUAAGUCAGCGGUGAAAUGUCGGGGCUCAACCCGGGCACUGCCGUUGAAACUGGCGAGCUUGAGUACGGAUGAAGUCGGCGGAAUGUGAUGUGUAGCGGUGAAAUGCUUAGAUAUGUCACAGAACACCGAUUGCGAAGGCAGCUGACUAAUCCGCAACUGACGCUCAGGCACGAAAGCGUGGGGAUCGAACAGGAUUAGAUACCCUGGUA